AUAAACACGUUCGAUCGAACGACGUAAACAAAAACGAAAUCAAAAUAUUUAGAAAGUUAUAUCGAAACUUGUACGUUCAAAUAUCUGAUAUCAUCACAAAAAAUAUAGUUUUAUUUGUCCUUAUUCGAUUUUUAUAUACUUGAAGAAUUUCGAAACGGAAUAACAAAAAGAAAUAGAAGAAAAUAUCCUUUAUUCGCGGAAACCACGAGAGACCGAUUUGAAAAUGUCGCGUGCCUGCACGUUCCUCAGGUGUGUACGCUAAACAUAAGAGACGUAUCGCUACGCACAAGACUCGAAUAAUCUACCAACGGACAAAGCGAUUUCCGAGUUGAUAUCAUGACUUCUGGUAAAUAAGCUGCGUAGAAGACAACGAACGAUCUCGCUGAAUACUAAAAGGCUCCCCUUGGCUCGUCCAUGAGAACACUGCGUGGUCGAGCUUCUCGAAAAUAUUCUUCAUGUUAGGAAUACGAUUACAGGAAGUAACGCGAUACAGUUGGCUUCCGAACACGUGCGAACGCUUAAGCAUAAUAACACUUAAAACGGUUACUGACCGGACGAAGAUAACGCGAUUAAACGUUACAAAUAUCGAUAUGUAAAUGAAAAA